rnacentral:lncRNA from 1 species
UCAAGAUAUCAUUUACAAGUAUUACUCACCUCGAACUGGUGAAAUCUCUAGCCCGCGACGCCUUUGCCCCUCAAAUCGUCCUCCACGUGCGUCGAAUCUAACCAAAAUCAGAUCGAAUACUUCACAAUAUGCUAAGGGGACAAUACCCAAUCGAAAAAAUUGAGAAAUAGCAAAAACUCAAAACUAGCAAAACCCGAGCCCCAAGUUCGCUCCUCGAAAAAAUUAAAAAACUCACAUUACCGGAUUUCUCGUCUUGCCACGAGUCUAUACAUACCAAGAUCUCCCAAAUUCAAGCUCAAAUGACCUAUCAAAUCCCAAUUUGGAAUAUCAAAACCUCAAGCCCUAACUUCACCCUCUUUUGAGGAAUUUCAUCCCAUUUUCAUGUUAAAUCUAAUAUAAUUUCAUGUAUUUAGGCUAAAGAACUUAUCUCCAAUCAAUCCUCCUUGAAUCUCUCUGCAAUUUGUACCGAAAAGCUCUUAUGGUGGUCAACAAUGGAGGAAAUAAUGAAUGGGGUCUCAGAUGAAAUAAUAAUAUAAAAACCCUUCUGUCACCCAGAUUUUUUCUUUAGUCGGACGUGUAGCACUCAACGCGAAUGCGAUGCUUUGAGUCUUCCCACUACGCAAACGCGAUCUCCUAUAUGUGAACGCGAUGCACCGAGCCACCAACUUACGCGAGCGCGAUACCCUCACCGCGAACACGAUGAACAAACCAGGUAGGGCCCCGGGCCCUUCUACACAAACGCGAGGCCAUUCAUUCGAAUGCGACGACCCAAAAAACACUACUACGUGAACGCGAAGGCCAAAAGUGGCCUGCAACAGCUGUGCACUUUUCUGCAAUGUUCUAAGUCCAAAAUCCUCCAUUUAGCCAUCCGAAAUCACCCCGAGGCCCCCGGAACCUCAAGCAAAAGCACCAACAUAUCCCAAAACAACGCAUGAACUUGUUUCAAUCAUCAAAACACAUUAAACAACACUAAAAUCAUCAAUUCACAUCGGAUUCAAGCCUAAGUUUCUUCAAAACAUCCAAAACACGCAUUCGAUCAAAAACCCGACCAAAUGAUGUCCGAAUGACCUGAAAUUUUGCACACAUGACCAAAAUCACCUAACACAGCUACUCCAACAUCGAAAUUCCAUUCCGACAGUCGGAUCAAAAUUUUACAUAUCAACCGGAUUUCGUCAAAAUUCUAACUUUACCCGUUCAAGCCUAAUCCAACCUUUGUAGGUGAUGGUCUAAUAAUUAACUUGACUUGAUAACAAGAAGUGCAAGAAAAAUCAUUGUUUAAAAGAAUCUUUAAAUUCUUUAAUGGAAGCCCAUUUGAGUUUUCUGUAAUUUAUCUCAUCAUAAUUGAUCCAGGAUGUUCCAAUCGAUCAUGCCAAAGUACAAAAGUAUUGGAAUCAGUAACCUUUUGGUUUAUAAUAGAAUGAGCCUCAAUUGCACUAAUUCUUGUCCAAUACAUGCCUCAAGACAAAUAUGGGACUUCUUAAUAGCCCUUUUCUGGCAAGAGAUAUUUUUGGUAAUGAUGUGAUAUUCAAGAUUAUUAUCAUAUAUUGUCUCAAUAUGAUAUCAAUUUCGACGGAUAUCUUUAAAACUCAACAAGUUCCUCUUGGACUUGGAGGAGAACAUUGCAUUCUUUAUAAUAAGUAUUGUUCCUUUAGGUAGAGUUAUAGUAGCUCUUCCAGAACCUUCAAUUAAUUUACUACUACCAGAAAUUAUAGUAACA